rnacentral:lncRNA from 1 species
CCAUGACAGCCUCUACCUGGGGGCCUCGAACUCCCUUCCUGGAGACCCUGCCUCUUGCUCUGUUCUGGGGUCCCUCAACCUGCACCUGUACAGAGACCCAGCUCUUCUGGGUCUCCGCUGUCCCCUGUAUCCCAACUUCCCAGAGGAAGCAGCACUGGAGGCUGAGGCAGAGCUGGGCGGCCAGCCCUCUUUGACUGCUGAGGACUCAGAGGUCUCGUCCCAAUGCCCAUCAGCCAGUGGCUCCAGUGGCUCUGACAGCAGCUGUGUGUCAGGGCAGGCCCUGGGUAGGGGCCUCGAGGACUUACCCUGUGUCUGAGCCCGGGACUGGACGAGCAGUAGAUCCAGCAGCCUGCAGCUCCAAGGAACAUUGCCUCUCUGGAUCUGCUGUGACCAGGGUGUGGCUGACACCUGGGCUACCUCCAACCUACGUGUGCAACGCUGUUGACUACCCUUUCUGAUGUGUGUGGCCAUUGGACUAACUGGCACGGGGCCUCUCUAGGGGAGUCUGGUUGUAGAGCCUGAAUAGGCUCUUGGCCCCAUGACCCCUUCUCCUGUCCCCAGCUCCCAUCCCAGUUGUGGGUUAAGAAUAGGCUAGAGCAGACAUUGGGUGUUUCCAUGCUGUAGGCUGGUGGGGGACCAUGUGCCUCUGGGCAGUGACUAGGGUGCCCCCACCCCUCAGGAAGAACACAGGGGGC